rnacentral:rRNA from 1 species
ACGAACGCUGGCGGCGUGCUUAACCCCUGCAAGUCGCACGGAAAGGCCCUGCCUUUGUGGGGUGCUCGAGUGGCGAACGGGUGAGUAACACGUGAGUAACCUGCCCUUGACUUUGGGAUAACUUCAGGAAACUGGGGCUAAUACCGGAUAGGAGCUCCUGCUGCAUGGUGGGGGUUGGAAAGUUUCGGCGGUUGGGGAUGGACUCGCGGCUUAUCAGCUUGUUGGUGGGGUAGUGGCUUACCAAGGCUUUGACGGGUAGCCGGCCUGAGAGGGUGACCGGCCACAUUGGGACUGAGAUACGGCCCAGACUCCUACGGGAGGCAGCAGUGGGGAAUAUUGCACAAUGGGCGGAAGCCUGAUGCAGCAACGCCGCGUGCGGGAUGACGGCCUUCGGGUUGUAAACCGCUUUCGCCUGUGACGAAGCGUGAGUGACGGUAAUGGGUAAAGAAGCACCGGCUAACUACGUG